rnacentral:rRNA from 1 species
ACUCCAGUUGAUCCUGCUGGCGGCUACUGCUCUUGGGGUUCGAUUAAGCCAUGUGAGUCCAGGAAUCUUUGAUUCCUGGCGAACGACUCAGUAACACGUGGAUAACCUGCCCUUAGGAAGAGUAUAACCUCGGGAAACUGAGGACAAUCCUCUAUAGGUGAGAAGUUCUGGAAUGACUCUCACUCAAAGCUUCGGCGCCUAAGGAUGGGUCUGCGGUGGAUUAGGCUGAUGGCGGGGUAACGGCCCACCAUACCUAUAAUCCAUACCGGCUAUGGGAGUAGGAGCCGGGAGAUGAGUACUGAGACACGGACUCAGGCCCUACGGGGCGCAUCAGGCGCGAAACCUUUGCAAUGCACGCAAGUGUGACAAGGGAACCCUGAGUGUCUUCUCUUUGAGGGGACUUUUAUGAUGUGCAAAAAGCAUCAUGAAUAAGGGCUGGGUAAGACCCGUGCCAGCCGCCGCGGUAACACGGGCAGCCCAAGUGGUAGCCAUGUUUAUUGGGCUUAAAGCGUUCGUAGCCGGUCUGGUAAGUCCUCCGUGAAAUCCUGUCGCUUAACGAUAGGAAUUGCAGAGGAUACUACCUGACUUGGAGCCGGGAUGCGUCAGAGGUAUUCCUUGGGUAGGGGCGAAAUCCGUUGAUCCCUGGAGGACCACCAACGGCGAAGGCAUCUGACUUGAACGGGCUCGACGGUGAGGAACGAAAGCUAGGGGAGCAAACCGGAUCAGAUACCCGGGUAGUCCUAGCCGUAAACGAUGCGGACUGUAUGUUGCUAAAGCUUUAUGUUUUAGCAGUGUCGAAGGGAAACCGUUAAGUCCGCCGCCUGGGAAGUACGGUCGCAAGGCUGAAACUUAAAGGAAUUGGCGGGGGAUCACCACAAGGGGUGGAGUCUGCGGUUCAAUUGGAUACAACACCGGGAAACUUACCAGGGACGACGGCAGGAUGAAGGUCAGGCUGAAGGUCUUACCGAACGAGCCGAGAGGUAGUGCAUGGCCAUCGACAGCUCGUACCGUGAGGCGUGCGGUUAAGUCCGCUAACGAGCAAGACCCGUGCCUUUAUUUGCCACCCUUUUCUUUUGAAGAGGAGCACUAUAAAGGGACCGCUGGCGAUAAGUCAGAGGAAGGUGCGGGCGACGGUAGGUCUGUAUGCUCCGAAUUUCCUGGGCUACACGUGGACUACAAUGGCACAAACAGCGGGAUGCAACUCCGAGAGGAGAAGCCAAUCUCUUAAAUUGUGUCUUAGUUCGGAUUGAGCCUUGAAACUCGGGCUCAUGAAGUUGAAAUCCCUAGUAAUCGCUCUUUAUUAGAGAGCGGUGAAUAUGUCCCCGAUCCUUGCACACACCGCCUGUCAAACCAAUCGAGUGGACUUAGGUCGAGGCUCUCUCAUCUGGGAAGGUCAAGAUCUAGGCUUGCAAGAGGGGUUAAGUCAUAACAAGGUAGCCGUAGGGGAAUCUGCGGCUGGAUCACCUCCA